AGCAGCCGCGGUAAUUCCAGCUCCAAUAGCGUAUAUUAAAGUUGUUGCAGUUAAAAAGCUCGUAGUUGAAUUUCGGGAUUGACGUGAUGGUCGUGCCCUACGGGGUAUGAACCGUCGCAGUUGAUUUCUCACCUCCUGGAGAAGCUUGAUGUCCUUAAUUGGAUGUCAUGUGGAACCAGGACCUUUACCUUGAAAAAAUUAGAGUGUUUAAAGCAGGCAUUUUGCUCGAAUACAUUAGCAUGGAAUAAUAGAAUAGGACGGCAUGGUUCUAUUUUGUUGGUUUCUAGGAUCACCGUAAUGAUUAAUAGGGAUAGUUGGGGGCAUUAGUAUUCAAUUGUCAGAGGUGAAAUUCUUGGAUUUAUUGAAGACUAACUACUGCGAAAGCAUUUUGCCAAGGAUGUUUUCAUUAAUCAAGAACGAAAGUUAGGGGAUCGAAGACGAUCAGAUACCGUCGUAGUCUUAACCAUAAACUAUGCCGACUAGGAAUCAGACGAUGUAAUUUUUAAUGACUCGUUUG
rnacentral:rRNA from 1 species